rnacentral:rRNA from 1 species
UGGGGAAUUUUGGACAAUGGGCGAAAGCCUGAUCCAGCAAUGCCGCGUGUGUGAAGAAGGCCUUCGGGUUGUAAAGCACUUUUGUCCGGAAAGAAAUCCUUGGCUCUAAUACAGUCGGGGGAUGACGGUACCGGAAGAAUAAGCACCGGCUAACUACGUGCCAGCAGCCGCGGUAAUACGUAGGGUGCAAGCGUUAAUCGGAAUUACUGGGCGUAAAGCGUGCGCAGGCGGUUUGCUAAGACCGAUGUGAAAUCCCCGGGCUCAACCUGGGAACUGCAUUGGUGACUGGCAGGCUAGAGUAUGGCAGAGGGGGGUAGAAUUCCACGUGUAGCAGUGAAAUGCGUAGAGAUGUGGAGGAAUACCGAUGGCGAAGGCAGCCCCCUGGGCCAAUACUGACGCUCAUGCACGAAAGCGUGGGGAGCAAACAGGAUUAGAUACCCUGGUAGUCCACGCCCUAAACGAUGUCAACUAGUUGUGGGGAUUCAUUUCCUUAGUAACGUAGCUAACGCGUGAAGUUGACCGCCU